CCCUUACCAAUAAUCCACUGCUCCUUGAAAAAAGUAGCACAAACACACAACUGACUCAGCAAUGAUGAGUAGAGCUACCCGAGGCCGAGAAUCAAGCAGAAGAAAAUUAAAUGUUGUUGCUUUUGUGGCUCGAAAAAUUAAAGAAAGUAUAUUUAAUAAUUCAACAAGACCCACACCUUCAACACAUGUACAUUCAAACUUUGGAACAGCCUCAACAAUGCUGCUGUUCCAAAGUCUGAAUGUACAUGUGUUGAAGGUGUGGGUCUUGUUGAAUUAUUAAAUAUACUUUCUUUAAUUUUUGUCGAAUGGACCCGAGCCGCUACCCCCAUGGCCUACUCUGAUUGACCCGCCCCACCGAUUGGAGGGUGCAUCAAAAUGCACCAAAGAAGACAUGGAUGAAACAAAUCCAGGAUGAUUUGAACGCCCUUCGACUUGACCUCGAGCAGGCAAGAACCAUCGCCUUAGAUCGGAAAGCGUGGAAGAUAAUCGUUGGUCAAGCAAGAGAACCUGCGGCACCUACAGCAGCGUACUGGUUGCACGGCAGACCACUGCCGCUGGUCGCCCGCUAAGGACAAGAAGAAGUGGUUUACGGCCAGUUCCCCCCCCUUCUUGUAGAUUUUCACCAGAUUUCUGAUGCUUACGCCCAGAAUCAUGUUACUGGGUUCUGGUUCAAUGUGAUCUAAUUACAGGUAUAAAGAGGCAAUUUUAAAUAUGUGAAUAUGCUAAGGGAAAACAGCACAUUAUGCCUUAAAACAACAAAACAAAUGCAUGAACACAAAAAACAAAUUGAAAAGGAUUAUGGGUAGCUUGAAGUCAUGAAGUCUAGGCUCAACUUCAGUCUCCUUGUUUUCUAAAAUCUUUUUAAUUAAUUGGCUUAUAGUCUCAUCUCAUUACCUUGAUUUGUACUUAAUGGUCUUAAGACUGCAAAUUUGCCAGGAAUGUCUUUAAACUGGCAUGAAGAGCCAAGCUCAAAAGUCAUCACGGUGCAGGAUGACAGGUUACUAAAACUCUGUCCAAUUAAAAAAAAAAAAAAAAAAAAAAAAAAGCACCUUAUAUAAACGAUAAGUGGCAGUAAUGAGCCUUCCUUUGGGAACCUGCAGUUGAAAAUGAAACAGUACCUUCAUUCUAUUCUGUAGGUGCAGGGGGGAUCGGCAUGCCUGCUUCAAGGGGAACACCUCCCCAGUAGUUGAGCUGAAAGAUGAAGUACCAUGGCCAGAUCCAGUGUAACUCUCUCUCCUCACCUACUGCUGCUCUACACGAAAAAUUUGACUAUAGAUCAAGAGAGUUCACAACAUCCAUUUACAACUGCACACCACUCACACAUCGUCCACAUAGCAGGGGUAGGGCAUCUGCUGGAUGUAGAUGCCAGUAGUCUGUCGAUCUCCGGUAAGCACUCGGCUCACCGGUCUCUCCACUAGGUCCUGAACUUACACGAAACCACCCCAAAUGUAACGCAUGUCACUGAAGGGGUCAGCAGCUGGACCCGGAUCCCAAAACCUGAAGUUGAAAGAAAUCAUGAAAUCAAGAAUUAAAGUGCUAGAGAAACCGUCCUAAGGUCUUCCUUGUUUCAUGAUGAGGCUGUCUCAGCAUGGUUAGUUUAAUUGCACAUUAAUUACAGCAUUAUCCAGAACAAACAAUAACAGCAGGAGCAGCCCUGUGUUUAACUGCUGUAAAGUGUUGGUUAAAAGGAACGUGCUACUGCUGAUAGUAAUGAGC
ensembl:lncRNA